GAUGAACGCUGGCGGCGUGCCUAAUACAUGCAAGUCGAGCGGACAGACGAUGCUUUUGCUCGUCUGACGUUAGGGGCGGGCGGGUGAGUAACACGUGUAUACCCUACCUAUAAGACUGAUAUCACUUCGGGAAACCGGAUCUAACACCGUAGGAGAUCUUGAACCGCGGUGGUCAUUAGAGCAAAACGGAUUUUCUGGCUCUUAUAGAUGGUUCCGGGCCGGUUUGGCUAGUUGGUACGGUAACGGCCUACCAAGGCGAGGAUGCGUAGGCGACCUGAGAGGGUGAUCGGCCACACUGGAACUGAGACACGGUCCAGACUACUACGGGAGGCACCAGUCGGGAAUCUUAGGCAAUGGGCGAAAGCAUGACGGAGCAACGCCGAGUGAGUGAUGAAGGUCUUCGGAUCGUAAAGCUCUGUUAUUAGGGAAGAACAAAUGUGUAAGUAAAUAUGGCCGUCUUGACGGUACCUAAUAAAAAAGCACCGGCUAACUACGUG
rnacentral:rRNA from 1 species